rnacentral:miRNA from 1 species
CCUGCUAAGGUGAGACUUGCUG